UUGCAUCAUCAAGCGGUCAAAGAGGUCAAGCAUCUUUCGGAAGUGACCGGUCAAACGGCGUCGAAUUCCCAGGGGAUCGAUCUUUUUGAGCACAGGAAAAUAGUCAGCCAAGUUAGGUUUCCCGGCCUCUUCAAAGAUACCCCACACCAAGUCCUUGAACUCUCUCGCCAUCGCACUGUGUGUGGGUCCGCUAAAUCCACGGAGAAGACUGUACGCGACAGCAAAUUGAGAGUGAAGUUUUGAAAGCAGCCCUUCCGAUAUCAACCACCUCACCGUUUACAGCGCUUUCAUUGACGUAAGAUAUGAGCUCUUGCACUUUUAGGUGACGGUUGGCUUGGUUGGCAUCGAGAAUUUUGGUGGCGAACAAUUGCGUGUUACAUGUUUUGCGAAGGUUUCUCCAAGCAGCUGAAACUGGUAUCCAAGCCAUGCCGUACGUGGAAUGUUGACAAGCUCGGAGCGCAUCUGGGACUGUUCGGUUGCAGAAGAGUUGGUCGUGGGUUCGGAGGACUUCUUUGGCGAAGGUUGAUGAAGAAAUUACCACCGUCGUUAUUUGGCCGAGUUGCAAGGCCAUUAUGGGGCCGUAGCGUUGUGAAAGCUUGGUGAGAGAGAGAUGGGGUUUGUUGCCAAGCUUUAAGAGAUUGCCAAUGAAGGGAAGUGGGUUUGGUCCAGGUGGGAGCCUUGUGGUAACUGAUGAUCUUCUUCCAAGUGAAUAAUAGAGGGUAUAAAUUGAGAUCCAUGCAACCAUUAGACCUAGUAGUAUGUAUGCAACUCAAGAUGUCCAUCUCUCUGUGUCUCCUUUCCCUUGUUCUUUAAUCCUAACCUUUAAUCUGGUGCAAUUGUUGAAAGAGAUGAUGAAUGUUUGCGUAUAUAUCCAAAUUGGGAAGUGAUACUGUGAUAGGACGCAUGUGGACUUCAUUAUUCUGACCAUUACUUGAUAGUUUAUUUUUUUUUUUUUUUAUUUUUUAAUUCGCCAGUAAAAUUUUAUUUACUAUUUUUAAUUUGUAAUAAAUUCAUAAAAAAGCCUACUAACUUCUUUACAUAGGUGAGGUUGUUUCUUUUGAAUUUUAUUUGAAAAUUAUUUUAUUAUUUUUCAUUUAUUUAAUUAAUUUUUUUUUCUUUUUAAAAGUUAUAAGAAGUGAGAAGCAUUUUUUACCAGAUGAAAGAUUUAUUAAAAUUUACGUUCUCCUUUAUAUAGAGAUAAAUUGUGUGUCGUCUAGAAAACGAAGUCAUUUAACAAAAUAAUGCAUAUAAACAAAAUAGUUUAAAUCCUUAUUGUUCUCCAAUAAAUAAUUGUAGACAAAAGAUUAAGGACAUGGAGAUCAUGUGGUACAAUAGUCUAGAAACAGCAACUGCAGAUAAGAGAGGUGAGGUCGGUGGUUGGUGGCUGACAAAUUGAUCAAAACUCCAAAAAGUUGCUCUAGCGGCUCACUGUUUUUAGGGUCGAUUUGUGGGCUUUACCAAGCCCGUUGGACUACCCAGCCGACGUUUUUCAAGCCUUGAGCCUGCCGGUGAUAGGCAAUGUCAGCGCUCAUGCGCACCAGAGAGACCAAUGACUUUUCUUCCUUUUGCUUCAGCCGUUGGAAAAUUCAACGGUCUGAUGCUCUGAGAGGUUAAGCCAUCUGUAACGUGAGCCCAAACUUCUCCUCCAUGUUCAUGGUCUCUGGUAUAACUUCAUCUUCAAGCUUCCAAUCAAAUGAGUUGAUAAGUGACCCCAACAUCAAAUUUAACAUCCGCAUUGCCAAUGGCAACCCAGGACAUAUUCUCCUCCCGCCACCAAAAGGAAUAAGCUUGAGGUUCUGGCCUAAAACAUCAAUUUUCGACUCCAAAAACCUCUCCGGCUCAAAUGAGUUGAGGCGGUCCCAAAUGCUAAGGUACUAUGGCCCAUGCAUUGACAAACAUUUAUAUUAACGUUUUAUUAUUUCAAUACAUAUUAUACACCAAAGUACAAUACAAGGUGCGUCUCUUUUCUUGUGAUAUGGAGAUAUGGACAGGUGCCAAUUGACAGAUCGAAGAAGCAAAAGUGAUCAAUUUGCAUACUUUAUUGAACAAGUGGAUGCUGUAUCUUUGUACUUGCCUUCUACGAUAUUCGAAAUGCGAUAGUGAUUGCACUUGAUGGCCCGUGAGGGGUACAGACAAUUAAUUAUUUGUCAUACUUUGACUUUCCUUGAGUUUUCUCCGACUUCGUGUAAAACUUUGACUUUCCUUUUAGAUAUUAAACUUUAACUUUUCUUUUAGAUAUUUUUCAAAAAGCAAUUUCAAUAGUUUAAAAAUAGAAAGUUUUAAUGAAAAAGACUUGAGGUAACUUUUUCUUAACAAAAAAACCAUUAACAACUUUUAUUUAAUGAAAAAAGCUUGAUAUUUAAUGAAAAGGACACAAGUAACAUACAACAUGCCGAAAAAAACAAAAGUCCCACGGGCUGAAGUAAAGCCAAGCAUGCGACAUCAAAAUUUUCUUCCAGCUUUGCCCUUGACAGAUGUUAACCAAAAUCUGUUAAUAUAACUUCAUAUUAUUUACGAAAUUGCCAUCGAGCCCAAAAGUCAUAUAAAACAACAACAACAACAACAACAAAGCCUUUUCCCACUAAGUGGGGUCGGCUAUAUGAAUCCUAGAACGUCAUUGCGCUCGGUUUUGUGUCAUGUCCUCCGUUAGAUCCAAGUACUCUAAGCCUUUUCUUAGAGUCUCUUCCAAAAUUUUCCUAGGUCUUCCUCUACCCCUUCGACCCUGAACCUCUGUCCCGUAGUCACAUCUUCGAACCGGAGCGUCAGUCGGCCUUCUUUGCACAUGUCCAAAUCACCGGAACCGAUUUUCUCUCAUCUUUCCUUCAAUUUCGGCUACUCCUACUUUACCUCGGAUAUCCUCAUUCUCAAUCUUAUCCUUUCUCGUGUGUGCCCACACAUCCCACGAAGCAUCCUCAUCUCUGCUACACCCAUUUUGUGUACGUGUUGAUGUUUCACCACCGCUCAACAUUCUGUGCCAUACAACAUCGCUGGCCUUAUUGCCGUCUUAUAAAAUUUUCCCCUGAGCUUCAGUGCCCUACGACGGUCACACAACAAUGCUGGAUGCACUCUUACACUUCAUCCAUCCAGCUCGUAUUCUAUGGUUGAGAUCUCCAUCUAAUUCUCCGUUCUCUUGUAAGAUAGAUCCUAGGUAGCGAAAACGGUCGCUUUUUGUGAUCUUCGCUAAAUUGCUCCGGUCAUUAGUGUGGAUAAGUAUAUAAAUGGAUAGAGAUAGGAAAGCAAACACAAGAUGUACGUGGUUCACCCCAGAUUGGCUACGUCCACGGAAUAGAAGAGUUCUCAUUAAUUGUGAAGGGUUUACACAAGUACAUAGGUUCAAGCUCUCCUUUAGUGAGUACAAGUGAAUGAUUUAGUACAAAUGACAUUAGGAAAUAUUGUGGGAGAAUGAUCUCGUAAUCACGAAACUUCUAAGUAUCGGAGUGUGAUAUCAUCUUGACUUGCCUUAUCUGUCUCAUAGGUAGAUGUGGCAGCUUCUCUGGAAGUACUCUUCCUCCAUCCAGGGGUGGUAUCUUUAACUGGUGGAGAUGCACAAGGUAAUGUAUCAAUUUCACUUGAAGCUUACUUGUAGUAGUUUCAGGCUUGGUCAAGCGCGAUACAAACCAUGUAGUAGGAGUCCCCCAAGUCGCCGAGCUAGGGGAUUUGCUGAAAGAGGUGACAGACAAGGUAAGCAAUCAGAGCUCCGGCUGAUUGUUCACCUUCUCCCCAUCUUGCAGCAGCAUGAAGGAUAAAGAGAAGAAAAAUGAGAAGAGAUGAUAUGGGAUACUUUUGCUUUUGAAGAAGUAACUUUCCACAUGCUUAUUCUUGAACUGAGCUGGAGGGUUUUCUGGUUUCCUCCAGAGUAUAAGGCCGACUGAAGAAUUUGAGGGUCAAAACAAGUCCAUCAAAUCUAGAGUACGUUCGACCUUGCUGAUAUGGGAUACUUUUGCUUUUGACAGAGUAAUGGAUGGAUCGGCACGUGUGCUGUUACGCUUGUCUCCACAUGCUUCCUUGUAUCAUUCGCACUUGCCCUAUCUGUUCCUCAAGCAGAUGCGGUAUCUUCCCUGGCAACAUAAGAUGUUGAAGAUGAGUACUCGAGAGCAAUGCCAGGUAAGUAAUCAGGUAAGGGGUUCCAGGCUGUCAGUUCCUGGCUGGGAGCUUGAUUUCAAGUGCUGACUGAUUGCUCUCUUUCUCCUUGUCUUGCAGGUAAAAACAAGGCCAAAGGAAAAGACAGGGAAAAGCAUGAUAUGGGAUACUCUUGCUUUUAACCCUGAUGAUAUGAGAUAUUCUUGCUCUAGUAUAGCUUGUUUGCAAAGGUAUUAUCGGGGGGAAAGAAAGCUGAAUAUUUUGAAAGGCUUCGUUGGGAGUGCCCUCUCAGAUAUGAGGAAGGGUUGAACAUUUUUGCAGGUCUGCCUGUCCGUUGGGGAUGGAGGUCGACAUAUAUAGGAGUCUCCCUAACAACAAGUAGUAAUGAUAUUCCUUUACCCUGCUUGGUCAUAGCAUGGUAGUGGGAGCUACUAGCUUCACAUGUUUUAACUCUGUCAGAGCACUUUGAAAAAGUGGUAUGUGGUAUCUGGCUCUCGAGAUUCGGAGAACGAUGCUUCUUCGAUUUUUGAGAAAGCAAUCAUGGUGGGGAUCUGGCUCUCGAGAUUCGGGGAGCAGUGUCUCUUCGAUUUUUGAGAAAGUAAUCAUGUUGGGAGUCUGGCUCUCGAGAUUCGGAAGUCGGUGCCUCUUCGAUUUUGGAGUAAGCAAUCUUGUUGGGAGUGUUUUCUCGGAUGUGAGUAAAGGUUGGGCAUGUUUGCUAGUCUACCUUGCCACGAAGCACGGAGGUUGACACAUAGGGACUUUCCAAUUAUCCAGCAGUGGUACUGUUCCUUUACCCUUGUGGGUAAUAAUAUGGUAGCUAGACCUUCAAAAUUUAUGUGUCUAAACUUUGUUAGUGCUGUUUCUUUGCUAUUCUUUUACCUUUCUUGGUCAGAGCGAUGUAGUGGGAGCUGCAAGCUUCACGUGCUCAACUUUGGCAGAGACUUUGACAAAGUUAUCUGUGGUACCCAUGAGCUAUUGUUGCGUGUGGGACGUGGGUGAUUGAACAGUAAGAUUCAUGUGCUUUCUACUUCACCAGAAGUCUUCGACAGAAUGCCCAUAAUUUCCGCAAAGCUAAGUGUGCGUGUGACAGGUGCUGACAAGGCUAGAAAAAGAAGGUGCCUCUUCGAUUUCUGAGAUCGGCCCUCGUGGUCUCUGAGCAGCCCAGCUUUUGAGAAAGCGAGCGCCUCUUCGAUUGAUUCGGAGAACGAUGCCUCUUCGAUUUUUGAGAAAGCAAUCAUGCUGGGGGUCUGGCUCUAGAGAUUCGGGGAGCAGUGUCUCUAUGAUUUUUGAGAAAGUAAUCAUGUUGGGAGUCUGGCUCUCGAGAUUCGGAGGGCGGUGCCUCUUCGAUUUUUGGAGCAAGCAAUCUUGUUGGGAGUGUUUUCUCGAAUGUGAGUAAAGGUUGGGCAUGUUUGCUAAUCUACCUUGCCACGAAGCACAGAGGUUGACACACAGGGACUUUCCAAUUAUCCAGCAAUGGUACUGUUCCUUUACCCUCUCUUCGAUUUUUGAGAAAGUAGUCAUGUUGGGAGUCUGGCUCUCGAGAUUCGGAGGACGGUGCCUCUUCGAUUUUGGAGCAAGCAAUCUUAUUGGGAGUGUUUUCUCGAAUGUGAGUAAAGGUUGGGCAUGUUUGCUAGUCUACCUUGCCACGAGGCACAGAGGUUGACACACAGGGACUUUCCAAUUAUCCAACAGUGGUACUGUUCCUUUACCCUUGUGGGUAAUAAUAUGGUAGCUAGACCUUCAAAAUUUAUGGGUCUAAACUUUGUUAGUGCUGUUUCUUUGCUAUUCUUUUACCCUUCUUGGUCAGAGCGAUGUAGUGGAAGCUGCAAGCUUCACGUGCUCAACUUUGGCAGAGAACUUUGGCAAAGUUAUCUGUGGUACCCAUGAGCUAUUGCUGCGUGUGGGAAGUGGGUGAUUGGACAGUAAGAUUCAUGUGUUUUCUACUUCCCCAUAAGUCUUCGACAUAAUACCCAUAAUUUCCGCAAAGCUGAGUGUGCGUGUGACAGGUGCUGACAAGGCUGGAAAAGUAGGUGCCUCUUCGAUUUCUGAGAUCGGCCCUCGUGGUCUCUGAGGAGCCCAGCUUUUGAGGAAAGCGAGCGCCUCUUCGAUUUCUGAGAUCGGCUUUCGUGGUCUUUGAGCAGCCCAACUUUUGAGAAAGCAAACACCUCUUCGAUUUAUGAGAUCAACCCUCGUGGUCUCUAAGCAGCCCAGCUUUUGAGAAAGCAAACGCCUCUUCAAUUUCUGAGCAGGCGCCUCUUCGAUGUUCUGAAGCUCCGUCGAGUGCAGAUUUUUAUAGGGGCUGGCAUUAAGUUCCAAAGCACACUUGAAUCUCCACCAGUAGAAGCUCCAUUCUUGCACUUCUAAGAUCUUGAUUUGUCCGACCUCUUCUCUCUUCAACACCUUUGAAAAUGUCUGGCCCCUCCAACCGUCGUUUUGACUUGAACCUUGUUGAAGAGGCAGCCCCGCCUUCUCCAGACAACAUAUGGCGCCCAUCCUUCGUCUCCCCUACUGGUCCUCUUACCGUUGGGGAUUCCGUGAUGAAGAAUGAUAUGACCGCUGCGGUGGUGGCCAGGAACCUUCUCACUCCCAAAGAUAACAGACUACUUUCCAAACGGUCUGAUGAGUUAGCUGUUAAGGAUUCACUGGCUCUCAGUGUUCAGUGUGCAGGUUCUGUGUGUCUAAUAUGGCCCAACGCCUAUUUGCUCGAACCCGCCAAGUUGAAUCAUUGGCGGCUGAAGUGAUGAGUCUCAAACAGGAGAUUAGAGGGCUCAAGCAUGAGAAUAAACACAGUUGCACCGGCUCGCACAUGACUAUGCUACAAACAUGAAGAGGAAGCUUGACCAGAUGAAGGAAACUGAUGGUCAGGUUUUACUUGAUCAUCAGAGAUUUGUGGGUUUGUUCCAAAGGCAUUUAUUGCCUUCGUCUUCUGGGGCUGUACCGCGUAAUGAAGCUCCAAAUGAUCAACCUCUGAUGCCUCCUCCUUCUAGGGUUCUGUCCAGUACUGAGGCUCCGAAAUGAUCCCCCUCCAAUGCCUUCUCUUUCUGGGGCUCUACCGACUGCUGAGACUUCUCCUAAGCAACCUUUGUGAAGGCUCCAUCUUGUUUGUUUAUUUUGACUCAUGUAUAUGUACAUAUUUGUAGCUUAUCGGGGAUAUCAAUAAAUAAGUUUUCCUUCAUUUCAACGUAUUGUGUUAAAUACACCAAAGCCUUCUUCGCUAAGUUCUUUGAAUUUUCUUUUGUUGAAGCUUGUAUGUUGAAGCUUUCUGAGUGGAGCAUGUAGGUUGGGGGUAGUGUUCCCUUAAUUUUUCCGAGUGAGGAAAACUUCUCGGUUGGAGACUUGAAAAAUCCAAGUCACUGAGUGGGAUCGGCUAUAUGAAUCUUUAGAACGCCAUUGUGCUCGGUCCUGUGUCAUGUCCUUCGUUAGAUCCAAGUACUCUAAGUCUUUUCUUAGAGUCUCUUCCAAAGUUUUCCUAGGUCUUCCUCUACCCCUUCGGCCCUGAACCUCUGUCCCAUAGUCGCAUCUUCUAAUCGGAGCGUCAGUAGGCCUUCUUUGCACAUGUCCAAACCACCGUAACCGAUUUUCUCUCAUCUUUCUUUCAAUUUCGGCUACUCCUACUUUACCCCGGAUAUCCUCAUUCCUAAUCUUAUCCUUUCUCGUGUGCCCACACAUCCAACGAAGCAUCCUCAUCUCCGCUACACCCAUUUUGUGUACGUGUUGAUGCUUUCACCGCCCAACAUUCUGUGCCAUACAGCAUCGCCGGCCUUAUUGCCGUCCUAUAAAAUUUUCCCUUGAGCUUCAGUGGCAUACGGCGAUCACACAAUAACACGCCAGGAUGCACUCUUCCACUUCAUCCAUCCAGCUUGUAUUCUAUGGUUGAGAUCUCCAUCUAAUUCUCCGUUCUUUUGCAAAGAUAGAUCCUAGGUAACGAAAACGGUCGCUCUUUGGUAUUUCUUGAUCUCCGAUCCUCACCCCUAACUCGUUUUGGCCUCCAUCUUGCACUGAACUUGCACUCCAUAUAUUCUGUCUUUGAUCAGGCUUAGGCGAAGACCUUUAGAUUCCAACACUUCUCUCCAAAGGUUAAGCUUUGCAUUUACCCCUUCCUGAGUUUCAUCUAUCAACACUAUAUCGUCUGCGAAAAGCAUACACCAAGGAAUAUCAUCUUGAAUAUGUCCUGUUAACUCAUCCAUUACCAACGCAAAAAGGUAAGGACUUAAGGAUGAGCCUUGAUGUAAUCCUACAGUUAUGGGAAAGCUUUCGGUUUGUCCUUCAUGAGUUCUUACGGCAGUCUUUGCUCCUUCAUACAUAUCCUUUAUAGCUUGGAUAUAUGCUACUCGUACUCCUUUCUUCUCUAAGAAUCUUCCAAAGAAUGUCUCUUGGGACCCUAUCAUACGCUUUUUCCAAAUCUAUAAAGACCAUGUGUAAAUCCUUUUUCCCAUCUCUAUAUCUUUCCAUCAAUCUUCGUAAGAGAUAGAUUGCCUCCAUGGUUGAGCGCCCUGGCAUGAACCCGAAUUGGUUGUCCGAAACCCGUGUCUCUUGCCUCAAUCUAUGCUCAAUGACUCUCUCCCAGAGCUUCAUUGUAUGACUCAUUAACUUAAUACCCCUAUAGUUCAUGCAAUUUUGUACGUCGCCCUUAUUCUUGUAGAUAGGCACCAAAGUGCUCGUUCGCCACUCAUUUGGCAUCUUCUUCGUUUUCAAAAUCCUAUUGAAAAGGUCAGUGAGCCAUGUUAUACCUGUCUCUCCCAAAACUUUCCACACUUCGAUUGGUAUAUCGUCUGGGCCUAUUGCUUUUUUAUGCUUCAUCUUCUUCAAAGCUACAACCACUUCUUCCUUCCGGAUUCGACGAUAAAAUGUAGUUUCUACACUCUUCUGAGUUACUCAACUCCCCUAAAGAAUCACUCCUUUCAUGUCCUUCGUUGAAAAGAUUAUGAAAAUAACCUCUCCAUCUGUCUUUAACCGCGUUCUCUGUAGCAAGAACCUUUCCAUCCUCAUCCUUGAUGCACCUCACUUGGUUUAGGUCCCUUGUCUUCUUUUCCCUUGCUCUAGCUAGUUUAUAGAUAUCCAACUCUCCUUCUUUGGUAUCUAGUCGUUUAUACAUAUCGUCGUAAGCCGCUAACUUAGCUUCUCUGACCGCUUUCUUCGCCUCUUGCUUCGCUUUUCUAUACCUUUCACCAUUUUCAUCGGUCCUCUCCUUGUAUAAGGCUUUACAACAUUCCUUCUUAGCCUUCACCUUUGUUUGUACCUCCUCAUUCCACCACCAAGAUUCCUUUUGGUGUGGGGCAAAGCCCUUGGACUCUCCUAAUACCUCUUUUGCUACUUUUCGGAUACAACUAGCCAUGGAAUCCCACAUUUGGCUAGCUUCCCCCUUUCUAUCCCACACACAUUGGGUGAUUACCUUCUCUUUGAAAAUGGCUUGUUUUUCUUCUUUUAGAUUCCACCAUCUAGUCCUUGGGCACUUUCCAAAAGUCAUAUAAAACAAAAAGGGAAAUUUUAUUUAAACCCAUUAAUUCUCUUUCCACACCCAACUUAGAAAUUUUGUCCCACAAACUUACCAUUUUACCCCCAAAUACAAAAUUUACAAACUUGAAAAAAUUACACAAACACAUAAACCCACCAACCACCUACCCUGGCAACAACCGGACUUGAUUAUGAUCGUCAUCAAGCAACCAAUUGACAACCUUGCUAGGCUGGUUAAGACCAAGCCUUUCUUGAAGAUCAUACAAUUGGAUUGCAGUGGGUACCGAUAGCCUCACCCGCCGAUCUCAAAGCCCUCUUAUGGUGCAAACCUUGCUAUGCCUAUCCUUUCCUCCAAAAGCUCGGGACGCACGUACAAUCCUUGGAUCCUUCAACCUUGGCCAUGGAGGUUAUGAACGAGAUAAAUUAAGGUUUGAUGACAUUUUAUUAGCUUUUCUGGCGACACAUUCUCUUGAUGCCGUCGAAGACUACAAUCGCCCUCCACUAUAUUUUUGCUGUUCUUCUCCACCCUCUGGCAAUCCAUUUUCCAAUUUCUAGUAGCCAAUUGUGGCUGGAUUUUUCGCCAGUUGAUAAUAUCUUUCUACACCCAUAUUUUCUCUAGGGCAUAAUUGAAAUAUAAAAUUUAAUAAAAAUUUAAUGGGUGUAGAAAUAGGUUUAUUGGGUCCAAAUAAAAUUUCCCAAACAAAAACUAAUUCAUUUUCAACUUUUUUUUUUCCUGAAACGGUUGCAAUCAUUCCACCAAUUGAAAACUCAUAUCAUGACAAAUUUUAUUCCCAAUUUGAUAAUUUAUUUUAGCAUUUGCUCCAAAGCUGGCGACCCACGUUUGCCACUCGAGAAUAGCUAGAACAAAAUAACCAUUCACUAGACCAUAACUGCCAUAGAUCUGCAAUUAACUUUUUUAUUUACGGGUCGUGUUUAACAUUCUUUAGGAAUAAAAAUUGCCAUGUUGUUUGUUCCAAAUAUUUAUUCACCUUUGACCCCAAAAAAAAAUUAUUCGUAAAAACUUAACAGCUUAAAAGUAUUCAAAUGACUAAUUUCAGUAAUGUCUUCCAAAGACAAUUUACAAACUCAAUUGUAGCAAAAAACCAUAGCAAAUUAAACCGCAUAAACACAAUUUUUAUGCAAAAUAAUUAUGAAGUGCAGGUACUCCCUGCAAUUUGCAACAACUAGGUCAUUUCAAACACAAAAAACUGUCAUUGUUGCAAGCAACCAUUUCUUAUUUGACAAUUGGAAAACUUUCACAUACACCAUAUUUUUACCCAAAAGCAUUGCAUCACCUCAAAGCUAUUAGAGCAAUGCUUUCCUCUUUUAAAUUUUAAACCAAAUGUCAGUCUAUAAGUCUAUAAUGUAGAUCAUAUACAGUUAACAACUACAUGUAAGAAAUGACAGACCACCAACUCAAGAUAUCGUAUCACUUGCUCAAAUAACUUUCCCUCUGGCCUUGCAGUGGGGCCUUGUUUAUGGAGUCUAUGUUAUGCUCGUACGAAAAAUAUAUUUACCAUUUAAGGUCUGCAACUUACAGUGACAUAUGACAAUAGCUUUCACUUUUCCCCUAUGUGUCAUGGUCAAUUCCGCAAAUCUUGAUAUGGUUUCGAGGUUCCUUAGCCUCCCAUCUAUAUUUGAAUAUUAAAUCUAAAAUUAGACACGAAUACUAUUACUAUUUCUUAAACUGAACAGUGAUUAUUUCUAUAACACGGAUAUUAUAACUAUUUCUUAAACUAAAACUGACUAUUUUUAUAAUUGAACACGGGUAUCAUAACUAUUUCUUAACUAAAACUGACUAUUUCUAAAACUGAUACUGACUAUUUCAAAGAAUCAGUUCAUCAAGAUCAAGAACAAUGAAGGUAGAGAGUAGACAACUAACCAGGAGCAGAUGUUGAAUUUCAUCGAUGUCCAUAUCCUCAUUUUUCUCCUCACUAAUGUUUAUCAGGGUAUCUAACAUAUCAUUAGUCAUGAUAUAAUCAAGCGCUUUUCUUGACUCGAACCGUUGCAUCAUCAAGCGGUCAAAGAGGUCAAGCAUCUUUCGGAAGUGACCGGUCAAACGGCGUCGAAUUCCCAGGGGAUCGAUCUUUUUGAGCACAGGAAAAUAGUCAGCCAAGUUAGGUUUCCCGGCCUCUUCAAAGAUACCCCACACCAAGUCCUUGAACUCUCUCGCCAUCGCACUGUGUGGGUCCGCUAAAUCCACGGAGAAGACUGUACGCGACAGCAAAUUGAGUGAAGUUUUGAAAGCAGCCCUUCCGAUAUCAACCACCUCACCGUUUACAGCGCUUUCAUUGACGUAAGAUAUGAGCUCUUGCACUUUUAGGUGACGGUUGGCUUGGUUGGCAUCGAAAAUUUUGGUGGCGAACAAUUGCGUGUUACAUGUUUUGCGAAGGUUUCUCCAAGCAGGUGAAACCGGUAUCCAAGCCAUGCGGUACUUGGAAUGUUGACAAGCUCGGAGCACAUCUGGGACGGUUCGGUUGCAGAAGAGUUGGUCGUGGGUUCGGAGGACUUCUUUGGCGAAGGUUGAUGAAGAAAUUACCACCGUCGUUAUUUGGCCGAGUUGCAAGGCCAUUAUGGGGCCGUAGCGUUGUGAAAGCUUGGUGAGAGAGAGAUGGGGUUUGUUGCCAAGCUCUAAGAGAUUGCCAAUGAAGGGAAGUGGGUUUGGUCCAGGUGGGAGCCUUGUGGUAACUGAUGAUCUUCUUCCAAGUGAAUAAUAGAGGGUAUAAAUUGAGAUCCAUGCAACCAUUAGACCUAGUAGUAUGCAACUCAAGAUGUCCAUCUCUGAGCUCUGUCUCCUCGUUCUCCUAAACCUUUAACUCUG
rnacentral:lncRNA from 1 species